GUUGUUGUUGUUACUGGUGUUGUGCCGAGAAACGCACGUCCGCCGAGAAUUGCAUGCACCGCUUGUAGUAGAGUGGUCCACGAAAAUGUAUAAUUUAAAAUCCAUUCAGUUCUUAUUUGUGGGACUAAACAGUGAUGAGUAAUGUUCCCAAAGUAAUUCUCGGUGGGUAUGCGUUUCUCGGCAUAACACCGGUAGUGCCAGCGAC